AAGGCCUUAAGUUAAACAAACUAUCAGCCUUCAAAGUUGGAAAUAAAUAGAAUUUUUAGGCCUUA
rnacentral:tRNA from 1 species